UACAGAGGGUGCGAGCGUUAAUCGGAAUUACUGGGCGUAAAGCGUGCGUAGACGGCUAUCUAAGUCGGGUGUGAAAGCCCCGGGCUCAACCUGGGAAUUGCAUUCGAGACUGAAUAGCUAGGGUGCGGUAGAGGGAAGCGGAAUUUCCGGUGUAGCGGUGAAAUGCGUAGAUAUCGGAAGGAACAUCAGUGGCGAAAGCGGCUUCCUGGACCA
rnacentral:rRNA from 1 species